UUCUCCUUCUCCUACUGUACUUCUCCUUCUCCUCCUACUGUACUUCUCCUUCUCCUCCUACUGUACUUCUCCUUCUCCUCCUACUGUACUUCUCCUUCUCCUUGCUGUGUCGUUUCUACUCUGCCUUUAAUCAGACGACAUCCAGCGCUGAUGUUUACGUCUCGUGACGUGACGAUGGAGAUGCUAAUUUAAACUGCAGCCAAUUUUAGUUGCUUAUCUAAAGCAGGAUUUGUUUUUAAUAGCGUCUGGGUCUUAAUGCUGGAAGUUUCUGAAUGCCAACCCGGUCAUCACGGGAUAAAAGCUAGACACGCUAGAAGCCCCUAAUGAGACCCACAGAGUAACAGGAGUCGUUAUUGUUUCCAAAGCUAUCCGUCGUUUCUAUUUUCUCUCAGUCAAACACAAGUGCGUCUGUUCUUUCAUCAGAUUUUGAUCCAGCCAUUAGAUCAGAAUUAGAAAGGACAAUCAGUGGAAGUAUAAAUAUAGACUUUGGGACGGAGAGGGAGACGGUGGUUUCAGGUCCAUUACUGUACACCAGGGACAUGGGGACAGAAAGCUAGUGUGUGUUUGUAGCGAGGUUCUUCUGGACAUGGCCUGAUGACCAACACAAUAAAACACCACUUUAAUUUCAGUGUAUAAGGAAAUUGAGAUUAGGUUUAACCCUCAUUAGCUGUACGCUAAAGGACUUCUGGGACAUUUCCGUUCGGUAUAAAGAAGCGUUUGAUAUCAACAUUUACUCUGAAGAUACAAACAUCUGUGUGGGAAAAAACUUACUGAACUUUUCUAUGUAUCUGUCACCUCUAGUAUUGUAGAGAAAAACAGAAAUAGUGAUGAAACUCUACACGUCGUUAAAGUCCUGAGUGUCGACGUUCAUCUGAGCUUCGUAUGAACACCGCCGUGGAGUGAGACGUGAGGAAGACCUUCGGUAGUGAACAUGGACACGAUAAACCCGGAGGAAACGCGUUCAUGAAACCGAGCAUGGAUUUAAAGAAGAGGGCAUUCUCACAGCUCCUGUGCAUGUUUCUGGACAUGUUCAUGGGUGAGUUUCUUCUGGAGUUCCUGAGAUUCUGAGACUGCAGAUCCGCUGAGACUCUGACCAGGAUAAAGUGCUUACUGAAGCUUGAUGGACAAAGUUGUGUACAGCUUGGCUUCGUUCAUGGCCAAGAACGCGAGGCGGUCGUUCGGGCAGAUUUACUUCAACCUCAGAGACGUGUGGGAUGAAGACAUACAGUAAGACGGGCUGGCAGACAGCACGCCGAUUCUUACUGAUAAACUGCUAGACC